rnacentral:rRNA from 1 species
AGCCCUCCGUAAGGGUGACCUGCGGAGGGAUCAUUACUGAGUUUACGCUCUACAACCCUUUGUGAACAUACCUAUAACUGUUGCUUCGGCGGGUAGGGUCCCCGUGACCCUCCCGGCCUCCCGCCCCCGGGCGGGUCGGCGCCCGCCGGAGGAUAACCAAACUCUGAUUUAACGACGUUUCUUCUGAGUGGUACAAGCAAAUAAUCAAAACUUUUAACAACGGAUCUCUUGGUUCUGGCAUCGAUGAAGAACGCAGCGAAAUGCGAUAAGUAAUGUGAAUUGCAGAAUUCAGUGAAUCAUCGAAUCUUUGAACGCACAUUGCGCCCGCCAGCAUUCUGGCGGGCAUGCCUGUUCGAGCGUCAUUUCAACCCUCAAGCUCUGCUUGGUGUUGGGGCCCUACAGCUGAUGUAGGCCCUCAAAGGUAGUGGCGGACCCUCCCGGAGCCUCCUUUGCGUAGUAACUUUACGUCUCGCACUGGGAUCCGGAGGGACUCUUGCCGUAAAACCCCCCAAUUUUCCAAAGGUUGACCUCGGAUCAGGUAGGAAUACCCGCUGAACUUAAGCAUAUCAAUAAGCGGAGGAA